GGAUAUGAGGGUGAUCUGGCUGCAACAUCCAUCACCCCAUUAAUCGCCGGGGUUGAUUUGGCUGAUUGGGCUGGCUAGGUGGGGGUCCCCUUCCUCCUUCAUCACUCCAUGAGUGUCCCUCCUGAAGCUGCCCUCUCGGUCUAAAAGGAUGACCUUCCCCAAUAGAGGAGGACCAUUCUCCAGUCAAGGGUAUACCAGUAGCUACGCUCACCUGCUAGAACCUCCAAACGGGCACCCAAGAGUGAUUAUACUCUCUGAGCAUCUGUAAGCAAGCAAAUGGUUAGAUUGAGGAAGAUCGAGUUU
ensembl:misc_RNA 7SK 7SK RNA